CGGGAGCCAGUCUAAGAGUUUUCUAACAGUUUGCAAAAUACAUGUGACGGAAUUAACGAGUAAUUUUAACUCAAUAAAUGAUGUUUUAUAUGAUACUACGUUUUGAAUUUACUGGGAGAAGCCAAUAAAAAAGGUUGAUGUUGAACCUUCAUAUAUGGCUACCUGACAGGAUGGGAAAAGAUCUGGUAGACUGGCAAAAGAAGAAUGUGAAUAUCUGACUAUGAGGAAUCAUGAACUAUUUUCUCUAAAAGAGGAAUAACGUUAUGCUUAAUUGUUUUACCAUUUGCCAAUUAAAGGACAGAAUUAUGUAGAUACUUAAUAAUAUUACAACAAUAUAUUGUUGAGUAAGAUCAAAGCUCAUAUGAAAUAAAUAUAUAUUAAACUUUAUUUCACAUAGACAUGCAAACAUUUUCAUAAAGCGAUCAUUCAUAACAUGUUUUGUUUCAUCUUG
rnacentral:lncRNA from 1 species